rnacentral:hammerhead_ribozyme from 1 species
AUUCGGCUGGAAAGUCCCAAAUAGGAUGAAACAUAUGUCCUGGAU